rnacentral:rRNA from 1 species
CAGUCGCCGCGGUAAUACGUAGGUGGCAAGCGUUGUCCGGAAUUAUUGGGCGUAAAGCGCGCGCAGGCGGAUCAGUUAGUCUGUCUUAAAAGUUCGGGGCUUAACCCCGUGAUGGGAUGGAAACUGCUGAUCUAGAGUAUCGGAGAGGAAAGUGGAAUUCCUAGUGUAGCGGUGAAAUGCGUAGAUAUUAGGAAGAACACCAGUGGCGAAGGCGACUUUCUGGACGAAAACUGACGCUGAGGCGCGAAAGCCAGGGGAGCGAACGGGAUUAGAUACCCCUGUAGUCCCUGUCUCUUAUACA